rnacentral:rRNA from 1 species
CUGACGAGUGGCGGACGGGUGAGUAAUGCUUGGGAAUCUGUCUUAUGGAGGGGGAUAACGACGGGAAACUGUCGCUAAUACCGCGUAGAAUCGGGAGAUGAAAGUGUGGGACCUUCGGGCCACAUGCCAUAGGAUGAGCCCAAGUGUGAUUAGGUAGUUGGUGGGGUAAAGGCCUACCAAGCCGACGAUCGCUAGCUGGUCUGAGAGGAUGGCCAGCCACACCGGGACUGAGACACGGCCCGGACUCCUACGGGAGGCAGCAGUGGGGAAUAUUGCGCAAUGGGGGCAACCCUGACGCAGCCAUGCCGCGUGAAUGAAGAAGGCCUUCGGGUUGUAAAGUUCUUUCGGUGAUGAGGAAGGUUGGUGUGUUAAUAGCAUGCCAAAUUGACGUUAAAUACAGAAGAAGCACCGGCUAACUCCGUGCCAGCAGCCGCGGUAAUACGGGGGGUGCGAGCGUUAAUCGGAAUAACUGGGCGUAAAGGGCACGUAGGCGGACCUUUAAGUGAGGUGUGAAAUCCCCGGGCUUAACCUGGGAAUUGCAUUUCAUACUGGGGGUCUGGAGUACUUUAGGGAGGGGUAGAAUUCCACGUGUAGCGGUGAAAUGCGUAGAGAUGUGGAGGAAUACCGAAGGCGAAGGCAGCCCCUUGGGGAUGUACUGACGCUGAUGUGCGAAAGCGUGGGGAGCAAACAGGAUUAGAUACCCUGGUAGUCCACGCUGUAAACGGUGUCGAUUUGGGGAUUGGGGUUUAGCCCUGGUGCCCGAAGCUAACGUGAUAAAUCGACCGCCUGGGGAGUACGGCCGCAAGGUUAAAACUCAAAUGAAUUGACGGGGGCCCGCACAAGCGGUGGAGCAUGUGGUUUAAUUCGAUGCAACGCGAAGAACCUUACCUACUCUUGACAUCCGAAGAAGAACUCAGAGAUGGGUUUGUGCCUUAGGGAGCUUUGAGACAGGUGCUGCAUGGCUGUCGUCAGCUCGUGUUGUGAAAUGUUGGGUUAAGUCCCGCAACGAGCGCAACCCUUAUCCUUUGUUGCCAGCGACUUGGUCGGGAACUCAAAGGAGACUGCCGGUGAUAAACCGGAGGAAGGUGGGGAUGACGUCAAGUCAUCAUGGCCCUUACGAGUAGGGCUACACACGUGCUACAAUGGCGUAUACAGAGGGUAACCAACCAGCGAUGGGGAGUGAAUCUCAGAAAGUACGUCUAAGUCCGGAU